rnacentral:lncRNA from 7 species
UGUAUUCUGGCUUUGUCUUCCACAGGUUAAUUUACUCGAAUUGUAUUUUUCCACUUGUUAGCUUUAUAUUUGCUGCCACGCUCCUCGGAUUUCUCCUGCUUCGAAAGAUGGGAUAGAAAAUGUGCUUCUUGUGCCAAGUACAGUGUAACACAGUUCUACUCAGGAAUAUCAGGACUCAACCCCCCAUUUGCAAAGAGGAGGUGCUGAUAGUCCCCAUCAUUGUAAGCUGAGAUCUUCAACCAAGGGUUGACAAUAAUCUGCUGCCUAAAAAGAGGAGGUAUCCGGAGCUCUCCACUGCCAGCAUAGUCUUGAGUGCAUCACUUGGAUGUUGUAUCAGUGGACAGAAUUUCAAGCCUCCACGUAAUGGACACUGAAUUUCUCUAAUCUAUUGGCCACUGGGCUUGUGAAUACAGCUUUUCAUCAUGAAAAUUACUUCUUCAACAAUAAAGCGUGAUGCAUU